rnacentral:rRNA from 1 species
GACAGAGGGUGCAAACGUUGUUCGGAAUUACUGGGCGUAAAGCGCGUGUAGGCGGGACGGCACGUCGGUCGCUGAAAUCCCCCGGCUCAACCGGGGAACGGGCGCCGAUACGACCGGCCUGGAGGGGCGUAGGGGGACCUGGAACUUCCGGUGGAGCGGUGAAAUGCGUUGAGAUCGGAAGGAACGCCCGUGGCGAAAGCGAGGUCCUGGACGCCUACUGACGCUGAGACGCGAAAGCCAGGGGAGCGAACGGG